rnacentral:rRNA from 1 species
UACGAAGGGGGCUAGCGUUGCUCGGAAUCACUGGGCGUAAAGAGCUUGUAGGCGGUUUGUCGCGUCUGCCGUGAAAAUUCGAGGCUCAACCUCGAACUUGCGGUGGGUACGGGCAGACUAGAGUGUGGUAGGGGAGACUGGAAUUCCUGGUGUAGCGGUGAAAUGCGCAGAUAUCAGGAGGAACACCGAUGGCGAAGGCAGGUCUCUGGGCCACUACUGACGCUGAGAAGCGAAAGCAUGGGGAGCGAACAGG